UACAGAGGGUGCGAGCGUUGUCCGGAAUCACUGGGCGUAAAGGGCGCGUAGGCGGCGCGGUAAGCGUGCGGUGAAAGCCCGGGGCUCAACCCCGGGUCGGCCGUGCGGACUGCCGGGCUGGAGCACUGUAGAGGCAGGUGGAAUUCCGGGUGUAGCGGUGGAAUGCGUAGAGAUCCGGAAGAACACCGGUGGCGAAGGCGGCAUCCUGGACUGGUCCUGACACUCAUGAGCGAAAGCGUGGGGAGCGAUCCGG
rnacentral:rRNA from 1 species